CGUUCCCGGGGCCUUGUACACACCGCCCGUCACACCACGAAAGCCGGAAAACACCCCGAAGUCCCGUGCGCCAACCCCUUGGGAGGCAGCGGCCGAAGGUGGAGUCGGUGAUUGGGGUG
rnacentral:rRNA from 1 species